rnacentral:rRNA from 1 species
GGAUUGUAGUCUGCAACCCGGCUACAUGAAGCUGGAAUCGCUAGUAAUCGCGGAUCAGAAUGCCGCGGUGAAUACGUUCCCGGGUCUUGUACACACCGCCCGUCACACCAUGGGAGCCGGAAAUGCCCGAAGUCAGUGACCCAACCGCAAGGAGGGAGCUGCCGAAGGUGGAGCUGGUAACUGGGGUGAAGUCGUAACAAGGUAAC